GACGAACCGAGCGAACGUUAUUCGGAAUCACUGGGCUUACAGGGUGCGUAGGCGGCUCAACAAGUCAGGUGUGAAAGCCCCCGGCUCAACCGGGGAACUGCGCUUGAAACUGUUAGGCUCGAGUCAGCUAGAGGUACACGGAGCUUCCAGUGGAGCGGUGAAAUGUGUUGAUAUUGGAAGGAACACCGGAGGCGAAAGCGGUGUACUGGGGCUGGUCUGACGCUGAGGCACGAAAGCCAGGGGAGCGAACGGG
rnacentral:rRNA from 1 species